UGACCAGUCGCCUUGGUAACUUUUCCCAAUCCUCCAUGGUUCACUUCUGUGACAUCGUCAGUUGUUCGGCCGCCAUGCCGAUAAAACAGUUUUGUAUCAGUGCUUUGUGACUAUAGAGUUUCUCACUCUAUUAUGUUUGUGACAUCGGCUGUAUUGCGUUUUUUCGCCGACGGCUUACUACCACAAUGGCGGGAUCUGCGUUCGCCACCUCCGUUCUCGAUGCGCCUUUACGGCGGGACAUCUUGGUGUCUUGGCGCUAGCUGGAUGGCGGGACCUCAUCAUUAUGAUCAGUGAUGUAUGCUUUGCUGCUUGGAUUGAUAAAACAUGCGCCGAGGCUUCCAUACAAGAACGAACUUCAAUUGGCUCUGGCACCAUCAGUGCUUGGCUGGUACCUGCCGAAUGAAUCGUCGCAGGUUUUGCUUGCCUGUGUCUACAAGAACCUUCACGUGUCACCUGCGACAGAAAGCAUUUGUGGGCAGCCAGUGCUCUCCUACAAAGACUGGCCUGCUCUGGCUGCGACAGCAAUGAUCUUGCACAUCUAUGCAUGGCCAACUUUGCUGCUAUUUGUCACUCUUGUUAAUUACACUUCCUGCAUCUUUUCUCAUUUAUUGGGUAAUAAAGUUUGACUGUGUGACAUGGUGUAAAGUAGAUGUCUUGCAGCAUUUUGGCUUGCAGUCCUUUUCUGUGCACUUCAU